rnacentral:lncRNA from 1 species
AUUCAAGGCGGGAUUGAGGUGAAACCAACCUGAAGGAUGAAUUUGUGGGCACAAGCCAACUUCCCUCAUAUUGACAAAGUUCUGUGGAUGCAGAAUGAAACGUCUCUACCUUAAAGAAAGAAAGUCCAGCUGCCAUGACUCAACUUUCAGACAAAUUCACCUGGAUGACUGAGAAUCUUCACAGACGUAUCUAGCAGCCAUAUUUGGAACUGAAGAUUACUUCCAGAACCAGGCUCGCGUACCAACAUGUAGCGGCAGCAUUUACAACUGCAGAUUACUUCCAGAACCAGGCUCAUUCAUCACGUGACCAACUGGUGGGACCUGGGCACAGCAGUAAAAAUGUCAACACUUCUCAGGAUAUGAUGAAUAAGUGUGAAGGUGUGGUUUUGGAAAUCCCUUCUGGUACCAGUAUAAAAUUCACGCGACCCGGGCCCCAAGGCAAAAGGACCAAACGCUCCGCCAUGCCCUCCGCGCGUCACAACGUCCUCCUCGUGCAGCUGCUGGCCCUGGCAGUGGCUCUGGAGGGAAGGUCCGUCACCCCCGUCCCCGAGGAGGAAUCGGGGGAGGUGUCGGGCGGAGAGGAGCCGCGCAACGCGCAGCAGAAGGUGGACGUGGUGAACCUGACGCUGGCGCUGCAGAAGGGCGUGGCCACGCUGGAGAAGAAGUUCGCGGAGGCGUUUCCUGAGGUGACGUCCGAGUUCGAGUCGCGGAGCGCACCAGACGGCUGCGACAGGGGCAACUUCAGCAGAGUAUGUCACACACACACACACACACACACACACACUCACAGAGAGAGAGAGAGAGAGAGAGAGAGAGAGACUCAGUCCCGCUCCUAUGCUUCCACCACCAGGCC